CCUACGGUAGGCUGCAGUGGGGAAUAUUGGACAAUGGGCGAAAGCCUGACCCAGCAAUGCCGCGUGAAGGAAGAAGGCUCUCCGGUUGUAAACCUCUUUUACAGGGGAAGCACAGAAGACGGUACCCUGAAAACAAGCAACGGCUAACUACGUGGCAGCAGCCGCCGUCAUACCGAGGUGGCAAGCGUUGCACGGACUUACUGAGUGUAAUGGGCGUGUAGGCGGGAAGGCAAGUCAGAUGUGAAAUCCGGGGGCUCAAGCCCCGAAUUGCAGUUGAAACUGUGUUUCUUGAGUAAUGGAGAGGGAGACGGAAUGCGUGGUGUAGCGGUGAAAUGCGUAGAUAUAAGGAGGAACACCAGUGGCGAAGGCGGUCUGCUGGACAGCAACUGACGGUGAGGCGCGAAAGCGUGGGGAGCGAACAGGAUUAGAUACCCCAGUAGUC
rnacentral:rRNA from 1 species